CAAUAGCGUAUAUUUAAGUUGUUGCAGUUAAAAAGCUCGUAGUUGGAUUUCGGUUAAGAGCGACCGGUCCGCCGUUUGGUGUGCACUGGUCGGUUUUAACUUCCUGUAGAGGACGUGCUCUGGGUUUAACGACCUGGACUCGGAGUCUACGUGGUUACUUUGAAAAAAUUAGAGUGUUCAAAGCGGGCUUACGCUUGAAUAUUUCAGCAUGGAAUAACACUAUAGGACUCCUGUCCUAUUUCGUUGGUCUCGGGACGGGAGUAAUGAUUAAGAGGAACAGUUGGGGGCAUUCGUAUUUCAUUGUCAGAGGUGAAAUUCUUGGAUUUAUGAAAGACGAACUUCUGCGAAAGCAUUUGCCAAGGAUGUUUUCAUUAA
rnacentral:rRNA from 1 species